UAGGGAAUCUUCCACAAUGGACGCAAGUCUGAUGGAGCAACGCCGCGUGAGUGAAGAAGGUCUUCGGAUCGUAAAACUCUGUUGUUAGAGAAGAACACGAGUGAGAGUAACUGUUCAUUCGAUGACGGUAUCUAACAGCAAGUCACGGCUAACUACGUGCCCG
rnacentral:rRNA from 1 species